GAACUGUGCUGCAGAGAAAAACAGUUUGGAAACAAAUCAGGCUCCAGUGAUGACUCCUCUCCAGCGGGUGCUGCAGCAGGAUGGAUGUGCUGUCACUGAGCCCGUGUGCAGCUGCAACAGACCUGCUCAUACGUGGCUUCCCUUUAGCAAGCUCCUCUCCUUGGAACUUGGUUGAUGCCUUCCUACAGCUUGGAUGACCCAACCUGUGCUCAGACCUGCCCAGGGAGCAGAAACAAGGGAAUGGUUUGCCUGAAUGGCCAGUUUGAAAUAGACACACAUCAGAGAUAUGCACAGGUAAUCACUUAUGUGUACAAUUCUAUGUUCUUGCUCCAAGGUGUAAAGACAGCACAGCCCAGGACAUGGCAAUGACUUUGGUGCUGGAGUCAGUUGGACUCAUUUGUUCAGAGAUCCAAAGCAGCACAGAUAGAAAACAUUCCAUUCUUCCAAAACAAAACAAAGAUUCUGCUGAUGAACCCGGGGAUCACAAACCCUGCCCAGGACCUGCUCUCUGCAGGACACACCAUAACUAGCAGAACAACCAGCAGAACUCACAAGCAAUAAUCACCUGAAACCUGUAACAUUGCUGACUCCAGGAUCACAGAGCCAAGGCACUGCCCAGCACGGCCUGAGAGCACAGUGGGACUCAGCCCGGAGCCCAGCACGCCCCAGCUCAGCCAGGGUGGGGCUCAGCCCCCUCUGCAGCCCCUGCCCAGUCCCCUCACUGCCCCGGCGGCACAGAGGGGCAUCACUUCAGCCAGGCAACCUCCUGGUAAUUUUUAUUUUACACUGACACAUUUACCACCACAGCACCCAGGCCAGCCUGCGCUGCCAUCAGGGUGCCAGCCAGAAGCUGGAAACUCAGAGCAGCUCCUUCUCUCAGCAUGCUCAAGCACCCGGCUCGCUCCACCUCCCCCUCUCAGAGCAGACUGGGAUCAGAGCUCAGCCUCUCAGUUGCUUUUCCUCUCCUUCUCUUUCCCCUCCUUUCAUCUAACACAGCACAGGAAGGACACAGCACCAGGCAGGUACCCAGCUGCUACCCACACUCUGCAGCAAACCAGAAUUUAUGAGCCAUGAACACCAGGAACAAGAAGAAAAAUUUCCCCUUACAGAGUUCCAGCAACGCUGCAAACACCUGGAAAGACACAGCUGGAAAGUGCUCAGACCAGCCCUGAGCACCUGCCCUUCUUGCUGGCUCUGUCCAGCCCUCUCUGCUUCCUUCAGCUGGCUGACAUCCACUGGCCAUGGCAAGAGACCCUCAGGCCCCCUGUGAUGUUCAGCAGCAUCCAUCUGACCCUGAGCAAACACUGCGAGCUGUGGGCCUUACUCAGCAUGGAGGCUGGACCUGCUACAAACCCUUUGCAGGUCUGGCCCCAUAAAACCCCCAUUAGGACUCCAACAAACAAACUUCAGCUCAACAGGCUUCCUCCUGCUCCUCCUGUGCCAUGCCAGAGCCUGGCAGCCACUGUCUUACCACACCAGACCCACAGAGCUUGGCCAGGGACCUCCAGGGCUGUCCUGGUCCUGCAACACCAUGGUCCACAUGCCCAGAGAAGAGAAAAACAGAGUGUCUGCUCAUACUCACAGUU